rnacentral:rRNA from 1 species
AGAGUUUGAUCCUGGCUCAGAACGAACGCUGGCGGCGUGCCUAACACAUGCAAGUCGAGCGCGAAAGUCCCUUCGGGGGCAAGUAGAGCGGCGGACGGGUGAGUAAUACGUGGAUAAUCUUCCCUCGAGCUUGGGAUAACCCUGCGAAAGCGGGGCUAAUACCGGAUAAGACCACAUGUCAUAUGCCAUGUGGUAGAAGGUGGCUUAUAUUUAUAUGAGCUAUCACUUGAGGAUGAGUCCAUGGCCUAUCAGCUUGUUGGUGAGGUAAGAGCUCACCAAGGCUAUGACGGGUAGCUGGUCUGAGAGGACGACCAGCCACACUGGGACUGAGAUACGGCCCAGACUCCUACGGGAGGCAGCAGUGGGGAAUAUUGGGCAAUGGGCGCAAGCCUGACCCAGCGACGCCGCGUGGGUGAUGAAGGCCUUCGGGUUGUAAAACCCUUUCGUGCGGAAAGAACAGUCUCGUAGCGAAUACCUACGGGAUUUGACGGUACCGCAGGAAGAAGCACCGGCUAACUCCGUGCCAGCAGCCGCGGUAAUACGGAGGGUGCAAGCGUUGUUCGGAAUUAUUGGGCGUAAAGGGCGCGUAGGCGGUAGUGAAAGUCAGAUGUGAAAUCCUCCGGCUCAACUGGAGAACUGCAUCUGAAACUUCACAACUCGAGUACAGGAGAGGGAAACGGAAUUCCCGGUGUAGAGGUGAAAUUCGUAGAUAUCGGGAGGAACACCAGUGGCGAAGGCGGUUUCCUGGCCUGAUACUGACGCUGAGGCGCGAAAGCGUGGGGAGCAAACAGGAUUAGAUACCCUGGUAGUCCACGCGGUAAACGGUGAACACUAGGUGUGGGAGGUGUAAUACCUUCUGUGCCGAAGCUAACGCGUUAAGUGUUCCGCCUGGGAAGUACGGCGCAAGGUUGAAACUCAAAGGAAUUGACGGGGGCCCGCACAGGCGGUGGAGCAUGUGGUUUAUUCGACGCACGCGAAAACCUUACUGGGCUGACAUGCCGAGAUCGGUGAACAUUGGAGUGCUCGUAAGGGAGCUUGACACAGUGCUGCAUGGCUGUCGUCAGCUCGUGCGUGAGGUGUGGUAGUCCGCACGAGGCUAUCUCAUCUAGUGCAUCAUAGUUGGGCACCUUAGACUGCUAGUAUGCGAGAGGUGGGAUGACUUCAGUCUCAUGCCUUAAGCAGGGCUCAACGUGUCUCAAUGAACGUCAAGUGAGCAAUCGUAGGAAGUCAU